rnacentral:rRNA from 1 species
GAUGAACGCUAGCGGCAGGCUUAAUACGUGCAAGUCGAGGGGUAGCAAGAUUGUAGCAAUACAAUUGUUGACGACCGGCAAACGGGUGCGGAACACGUACACAACCUUCCUACAAGUGGGGAAUAGCCCAGAGAAAUUUGGAUUAAUACCCCGUAACAUAGCGAUGUGGCAUCACAUUGCUAUUAUAGCUUCGGCGCUUGUUGAUGGGUGUGCGGCUGAUUAGAUAGUUGGCGGGGUAACGGCCCACCAAGUCUACGAUCAGUAGCUGAUGUGAGAGCAUGAUCAGCCACACGGGCACUGAGAUACGGGCCCGACUCCUACGGGAGGCAGCAGUAAGGAAUAUUGGACAAUGGACGCAAGUUUGAUCCAGCCAUGCCGCGUGAAGGAUUAAGGUCCUCUGGAUUGUAAACUUCUUUUAUAAGGGACGAAAAAAGGUCUUUCUAGAUCGUCUGACGGUACCUUAUGAAUAAGCACCGGCUAACUCCGUGCCAGCCGCCGCAGUAAAAC